GAAAUGCGAUAAGUAAUGUGAAUUGCAGAAUUCCGUGAAUCAUCGAAUCUUUGAACGCACAUUGUGCCCCCUGGCAUUCCGGGGGGCAUGCCUGUCCGAGCGUCAUUUCUGCCCUCAAGCACGGCUUGUGUGUUGGGUGUGGUCCCCCCGGGGACCUGCCCGAAAGGCAGCGGCGACGUCCGUCUGGUCCUCGAGCGUAUGGGGCUCUGUCACUCGCUCGGGAAGGACCUGCGGGGGUUGGUCACCACCAUAUUUCACCACGGUUGACCUCGGAUCAGGUAGGAGUUACCCGCUGAACUUAAGC
rnacentral:misc_RNA from 1 species